UGACAGGAAAGUGUGAGACUCAAAAUAAUUAAAUUGAAUGUUUAGAAAGGUCAGAAUCACGAGAAUUUAGAGAAAGAGACAUUUGACCACUAGGGGGCGUUUGUCUGCUAAAUGCACACACAGCACCUUUAGGGCCAAACCAUCUGGUGAAGAAAGAGGGGAGUUCGUGUGAAUUAAUGUUUUAGUCACUUUCAUGUCUUUGUUACUUUCUGUUUUGUGCGUUUGUGUGUCUCAGUGAGUCUCGUAAAUAAAUAGACUCUUUGUGUGUCAUGAAUCUGGUGUCUGUUUUCCAGUCGGUAAAGCCUGAUGACGUCAUUCCCGGUUUUGCCGUCUACAGGAUUUGAAAUGUGAAGAAAAAACAUCUCACCACGUGGGGAGGCUCAGGCAGUGGGCGGGGCUUUGAUCAUCAGAGGAGCAAGUGGCAAACAGCUCGCUGGUACCUGCAGUAAACUCGGCGCCGGAGCGUUCGGAGGCGGCGUGCGUACGUGCCAGCCCCGCCGAGGCGGCCCCGUCUUUCAACAGCGUGUGUGUUUUCACAGGCCGUCAUGCUACGCCGGCUUCUUCUGAGGCGUCCUCUUUGCCUCCACAUCCCUCCCACGUCACCUCGCCGAGACCCAUCUGUGUCUAGAAGAAAGUAUGAUGAAACCACAAAACAAUGAGCGAACGUAAAGAACACAAGUGUGGCGACGCGUUUCUUGAAGCACGAGCAGCUGCAGUACCGAGCACACACACACGGGCGGGCGUUUUGGAAGGAGCGAAUGGGAGACGGGAAGAGCGGAGGGAGGCGUGUGUUCAAAAAAUUCACAAAGGUUUUGUAAUAAAUGCGUCCAUGACAAUAAAAACAAAAACAUUAAAGGGAGAAAAGACAUGUUUCUGUGUUAAACAAUUAGUGCUGCAGCAUUAGAGGCGAUCAGGAGGAGACAAAAGCGCUGCAGCGGCAGGGGGUUUACCCCAGACACAAAGACACAAAGACAGAUGCUCUGCAGCCCAGCCAAGCUGCAGCAUCACUCCGGUUCGGCGGUUUGGAAGCUCGGAAGGAUCUUUGGGUCCGUUCUGGGGAGACUGUGAGCUGCAGUUUGUCUACAUCAUCAGCUCGUCUGGAUAAUUAAAUUCAUUUGUGACCACGAGCUACCAGAAAUCCACGACAACAACGCAGCAUUUAAAACUUCCGCAAAAGUUACCGCCCCCUCCCAUAUGGUGGCGAGAAAAGGUGCUUUUGCCUGCGUAAAUAUUUAGGACUUUCCAAACCUGCGUGGCCUCCUUUGGUAAAGCAGCUGCUUUCUUAGCCAGAAUUCUCGAAAUGAUCUUUUUCUGAAACCAGCAAACAGUCAGAUUCAAGCCGGUCUUCUGCUAGAAGGACCUUGAACCGAUUUUUCCUGUGUUUGUGUCCUCUUCAGCAUUUGCUGGUAAUUAAUGUUCAUAAUUAACGGCAACAGGCAAGCAGCCCCACACCAUCACACUACCACCACCAUGUUUAAGUGUUAAUUCAAUAAAGUUCAUUGUGACUACAAAGUUAACUAAGUUCUUAAGUUAUUUUUUCUCAGACAUGGUUUGUGUUUGUCAAC